rnacentral:rRNA from 1 species
AGUGAACGCUGGCGGUAGGCCUAACACAUGCAAGUCGAACGGCAGCACAGUAAGAGCUUGCUCUUACGGGUGGCGAGUGGCGGACGGGUGAGGAAUACAUCGGAAUCUACUUUUUCGUGGGGGAUAACGUAGGGAAACUUACGCUAAUACCGCAUACGACCUACGGGUGAAAGCAGGGGAUCUUCGGACCUUGCGCGAUUGAAUGCGCCGAUGUCGGAUUAGCUAGUUGGCGGGGUAAAGGCCCACCAAGGCGACGAUCCGUAGCUGGUCUGAGAGGAUGAUCAGCCACACUGGAACUGAGACACGGUCCAAACUCCUACGGGGGGCAGCAGUGGGGAAUAUUGGACAAUGGGCGCAAGCCUGAUACAGCCAUACCGCGUGGGUGAAGAAGGCCUUCGGGUUGUAAAGCCCUUUUGUUGGGAAAGAAAAGCAGCAGGUUAAUACCCCGCUGUUCUGACGGUACCCAAAGAAUAAGCACCGGCUAACUUCGUG